rnacentral:rRNA from 1 species
AAGAGACAGCAGUCGCCGCGGGAAUACAGAGGGUGCAAGCGUUAAUCGGAAUUACUGGGCGUAAAGCGCGCGUAGGUGGUUUGUUAAGUUGGAUGUGAAAUCCCCGGGCUCAACCUGGGAACUGCAUCCAAAACUGGCAAGCUAGAGUAUGGUAGAGGGUGGUGGAAUUUCCUGUGUAGCGGUGAAAUGCGUAGAUAUAGGAAGGAACACCAGUGGCGAAGGCGACCACCUGGACUGAUACUGACACUGAGGUGCGAAAGCGUGGGGAGCAAACAGGAUUAGAUACCCCUGUAGUCCCUGUCUCUUAUAA